GAUGAACGCUGGCGGCGUGCCUAAUACAUGCCAGUCGAGCGAACAGACGAGGAGCUUGCUCCUCUGACGUUAGCGGCGGACGGGUGAGUAACACGUGGAUAACCUACCUAUAAGACUGGGAUAACUUCGGGAAACCGGAGCUAAUACCGGAUAAUAUAUUGAACCGCAUGGUUCAAUAGUGAAAGACGGUUUUGCUGUCACUUAUAGAUGGAUCCGCGCCGCAUUAGCUAGUUGGUAAGGUAACGGCUUACCAAGGCAACGAUGCGUAGCCGCCCUGAGAGGGUGAUUGGACACACUGGAACGGAGACACGGUCCAGACUCCUACGGGAGGCAGCAGUAGGGAAUCUUCCGCAAUGGGCGAAAGCCUGACGGAGCAACGACGCGUGAGUGAUGAAGGUCUUCGGAUCGUAAAACUCUGUUAUUAGGGAAGAACAAAUGUGUAAGUAACUAUGCACGUCUUGACGGUACCUAAUAAGAAAGCCACGGCUAACUACGUG
rnacentral:rRNA from 1 species